GUCGAGAAUUUUUCACAAUGGGCGAAAGCCUGAUGGAGCGACGCCGCGUGGGGGAUGAAUGGCUUCGGCCCGUAAACCCCUGUCAUGGGCGAUCAACCCUUUCCCGCCAAUACCGGGAAAGCUGAUAGUAGCUCAAGAGGAAGGGACGGCUAACUCUGUGCCAGCAGCCGCGGUAAUACAGAGGUCCCAAGCGUUGUUCGGAUUCACUGGGCGUAAAGGGUGCGUAGGCGGCCGGGUAAGUCUGAUGUGAAAGCCCGCAGCUCAACUGCGGAACGGCAUCGGAUACUAUCCGGCUCGAGGGUUGGAGGGGGGACUGGAAUUCUCGGUGUAGCAGUGAAAUGCGUAGAUAUCGAGAGGAACACCAGUGGCGAAGGCGAGUCCCUGGACAACUCCUGACGCUGAGGCACGAAAGCUGGGGGAGCAAACAGGAUUAGAAACCCCAGUAGUCC
rnacentral:rRNA from 1 species